AGUGAACGCUGGCGGUAGGCCUAACACAUGCAAGUCGAACGGCAGCACAGUAAGAGCUUGCUCUUACGGGUGGCGAGUGGCGGACGGGUGAGGAAUACAUCGGAAUCUACUUUUUCGUGGGGGAUAACGUAGGGAAACUUACGCUAAUACCGCAUACGACCUACGGGUGAAAGCAGGGGAUCUUCGGACCUUGCGCGAUUGAAUGAGCCGAUGUCGGAUUAGCUAGUUGGCGGGGUAAAGGCCCACCAAGGCGACGAUCCGUAGCUGGUCUGAGAGGAUGAUCAGACACACUGGAACUGAGGCACGGUCCAGACUCCUACGGGAGGCAGCAGUGGGGAAUACUGGACAAUGGGCGCAAGCCUGAUCCAGCCAUACCGCGUGGGUGAAGAAGGCCUUCGGGUUGUAAAGCCCUUUUGUUGGGAAAGAAAAGCAGCAGGUUAAUACCCCGCUGUUCUGACGGUACCCAAAGAAUAAGCACCGGCUAACUUCGUG
rnacentral:rRNA from 1 species